AGGAGUGGAAAGAAGGAGGCAGAGAGGAAUGAGUCAAAGGUAGACGUGGGGAGGUUAAAGUCGCCCAGCACUGUGAGAGGUUAGCCGUCCUCAGGAAAGGAGCUUAUCAAGGUAUCAAGCUCAUUGAUGAACUCUCCGAGGGAACCUGGAGGGCGAUAAAUGAUAAGGAUGUUAAGCUUGAAAGGGCUGGUAACUGUGACAGCAUGGAAUUCAAAGGAGGCGAUAGACAGAUGGGUGAGGGGAGAAAGAGAGAAUGACCACUUGGGAGAGAUGAGGAUCCCGGUGCCACCACCCCGCUGACCAGAAGCUCUCGGGGUGUGCGAGAACACGUGGGCGGACGAAGAGAGAGCAGUAGGAGUAGCAGUGUUGUCUGUGGUGAUCCAUGUUUCCGUCAGUGCCAAGAAGUCGAGGGACUGGAGGGAGGCAUAGGCUGAGAUGAACUCUGCCUUGUUGGCCGCAGAUCGGCAGUUCCAGAGGCUACCGGAGACCUGGAACUCCACGUGGGUCGUGCGCGCUGGGACCACCAGAUUAGGGUGGCCGUGGCCACGCGGUGUGGAGCGUUUGUAUGGUCUGUGCAGAGAGGAGAGAACAGGGAUAGACAGACACAUAGUUGACAGGCUCCAGAAGAGGCUACGCUAAUGCAAAGGAGAUUGGAAUGACAAGUGGACUACACGUCUCGAAUGUUCAGAAAGUUAAGCUUACGUAGCAAGAAUCUUAUUGACUAAAAUGAUUAAAAUGAUACAUACUGCUGAAGUAGGCUAGCUGGCAGUAGCUGCGUUGUUGACACUACACUAAUCAAGUCGUUCCGUUGAGUGUAAUAGUUUCUGCAGUGCUGCUAUUCGGGGGCUAGCUGGCUAGCUAGCAGUGUUGUUUACGUUACGUUGCGUUAAAAGAACGACAAUAGCUGGCUAGCUAACCUAGAAAAUCGCUCUAGACUACACAAUUAUCUUUGAUACAAAGACGGCUAUGUAGCUAGCUAUGUAGCUAGCUACGAUCAAAUCAAACCGUUGUACUGUAAUGAAAUGAAAUGAAAAUGUGAUACUACCUGUGAGUGCGACCGGGUUGUUGAGUUCAAUUCAGUAGACGUUGGCUAGCUGUUAGCUGUUAGCUGUUGGCUAGCUAGCAGAGUCUCCUACGUUAAGGACGACAAAUAGCUGGCUAGCUAACCUCGGUAAAUUAAGAUAAUCACUCCAAGACUACACACUCUAAACUACACAAUUAUAUUGGAUACAAAGACAGCUAUGUAGCUAGCUAACACUAAACUAAUCAAGUCGUUCAGUUGAGUGUAAUAGUACUACAGAUGACCAUCCUACCCAUGCUAGAUUACGAAGACAUCAUUUAUAGAUAGGCAGGUGAGGGUGCUCUCGAGGGGCUAGAUGUUCUUUACCAUUCGGCCAUCAAAUUUGCCACCAAUGCUCCUUAUAUCAUCACUGCACUCUAUAAUCCUCUGUAAACUGGUCAUCUCUGUAUACCUGUCGCAAGACCCACUGGUUGAUGCUUAUUUAUAAAACCCUCUUAGGCCUCACUCCCCCCUAUCUGAGAUAUCUACUGCAGCCCUCAUCCUCCACAUACAACACCCGUUCUGCCAGUCACAUUUUGUUAAAGGUCCCCAAAGCACACACAUCCCUGGGUCGCUCGUCUUUUCAGUUCGCUGCAGCUAGCGACUGGCUCGAGCUGCAACAAACACACAAACUGGACAGUUUUAUCUCAAUCUCGUCAUUCAAAGACUCAAUCAUGGACACUCUUACUGACAGUUGUGGCUGCUUUGCAUGAUGUAUUAUUGUCUCUACCUUCUUGCCCUUUGUGCUGUUGUUUGUGCCCAAUAAUGUUUGUACCAUGUUUUGUGCUGCUACCAUGUUGUGUUGCUACCAUGUUCUUGUUAUGUUGCUACCAUCUUGUGUUGCUUCCAUGUUGUGUUGCCUCCAUGCUGUGUUGUCAUGUGUUGCUGCCAUGCUAUGUUGUCUUAGGUCUCUCUUUAUGUAGUGUUGUGUUGUCUCACUUGUUGUGAUGUGUAUUUUGUCCAAUAUUUAUAUUGUAUUUAUUUGUAUUAUUUUUAAUCUCAGGCCCCUGUCCCCGCAGGAGGCCUUUUGGUAGGCCGUCAUUGUAAAUAAGAAUUUGUUCUUAACUGACUUGCCUAUUUAAAUACAGGUUCAAUUAAAAUUUAAAUUUAAAUUGGGGCAAGGCAUGGAGGUUUUCAGCAGGCUGGCUCCAUGGUUAGAACACAGUUGAUGUGUUUUCCAUGCUGACCACUAGGUUGCAGUACCACACCACUUCUGUCUGUUUCCUCUGGGUUGCAAUAGUCAAGCGUAACAGUGGAGCUCGUUAGUGAAUAAGGAGUUUGAGAAAGGGAGAGAAAUGUGUUGGGAUGCCUGAAUUGACAGCUAUUAAGAAAUAACUGUUGAUCCCGAUUGUAUUAUGUUGUGUGUAAUAUAAUAUGUACUCUGUUUUUAACUUCAUUCUGUUAUUAUUUUAAUCAACAUUAUUUGUCAUGCUUUAGGAUGGUGGAAUGUGAAAUGACGUUUGCAUACAGUAAAAACAGCAUUCUAGA